GGAAACUUGUCUGCAUCUUCCUGAUACACGGAAGCUUCCAUUUCAUCUGGCAUAGAUACAGAUCCAAGUAUGCAUUACACAUAGCAUCUUAAGGAUGUCUCUCUCUCUCUUUCCAUAGCAGACAAAGUUACUGCAAAGCUGGACUACGUUAUGCGUCAAAGCACACUUUAUCCCUUAAAGGUCCACAUCAGAAAACAGACCAAUUUAAUAACAGUAAUUUUUAACCUCUCCAGUAAUGGGAACAUUCUGCCCCUCUCUGAGGAACAACUAUCUCAAGUGCUUUUCCGGGAGAUAAGACAGUCAAGGGCACAAGCCUUGAAAGAGACUCAAUUAUCUGAACUUUAAUGAUGGAGGAGGAGUAAUUUUCAGGGAGCCAGCAAAACUGGGAACUUCCACACUGCUAAACUGACUUAAAAGAGACAGCUCGCCCUGGACCAGCACGGUAGAAUUCAUGGAGGGAACCAGAUGUUUCACUACAAUUAUUGUUGAAGUCUCUUUACAUGCUUUGUGCUUAACGUGAACAACACUCAUUCCAAAUGAAAGAAGAGCAGCAGCUUUCCUGAUACGCUGCUCCUGCCAUGUGCUCCAUGCAAUGCUGCCAGAAGUGGACGACACUGCAGUGCAGGCGGCCUCCAUCCGUGUGACAGCAGCAUCUCUAAGAAACACUAAAUAUGGAUUUCUCAUAUUUUCCUUUGCCACAAAGGCAAUCACAAAGGAGACCAGUUCAUAAGGCAGCAGUACACUAACUUAGGAGUUUUUACAGCUGCGAAUUGGGGUAUCACUUCAGCCUUUAUAUCCGACUGACAUGCCUCCCUGCUAAAAAUGGUUGGCACAGAAUUAGUCAUACAUGGAUAUUCAGAUUAGCAUCCAUUUAUAUUUUAACAGAGGCAGAAAAGGAGAAUUUCUUUUUCCAUAGGCUAUUUUUAAAUAAUGAUGAAGCAGUUACUGAGUACCAAUAAGAACACGCUCCAUUACAUUGACAUGAGACAGUCUUCCGCUGGGCAGGCUAACCAGUUACACUACUCACUGCUGCACUGUUCGUUCUAAUUUUACAUGUUAUUUUGCUAAGCAGCAGGUUUUUUUAAAUGUCAAGGAGAACAUCUGUGUGCUCUCCAUCACAAAGACAGGCACAAAGGCAUCUUCAGC
ensembl:lncRNA